UAACCCCCUCCAGGCAGCGGUUCUGUGCCGCCGCCCGGGCCUUUGGCGCGGGGAGGUGACCGUGGCGCUCCGGCGCCGGGCCCGGUUUCCCCCGCUCAAACGUGGAGAAAGCUAGCCGGCAGGGCUCCGAUUGCAGCGACUCGUAAAACUGCUAACCCGUCGCAAUGUCUUCGGAGCUGCCCGGCCUCUAAAACAGAAGGAGGAUCCCUCCCAGACGU
rnacentral:misc_RNA from 1 species